rnacentral:rRNA from 1 species
UCCGUAGGUGAACCUGCGGAAGGAUCAUUAACGAGUAACUGAACAGGUUGUAGCUGGCCUUUCGGGGCAUGUGCACACCUGGCUCAUCCACUCUUCAACCUCUGUGCACUUGUUGUAGGUCGGUAGAAGAGCGAGCAUCUAAUGCUUGCUUGGAAGCCUUCCUAUGUUUUACUACAAACGCUUCAGUUUAAGAAUGUUUACCUGCGUAUAACGCAUUUAUAUACAACUUUCAGCAACGGAUCUCUUGGCUCUCGCAUUGAUGAAGAACGCAGCGAAAUGCGAUAAGUAAUGUGAAUUGCAGAAUUCAGUGAAUCAUCGAAUCUUUGAACGCACCUUGCGCUCCCUGGUAUUCCGGGGAGCAUGCCUGUUUGAGUGUCAUGGUAUUCUCAACCUUCAUAACUUUUGUUAUCGAAGGCUUGGACUUGGAGGUUGUGCUGGCUUCUAGUUAAGUCGGCUCCUCUUAAAUGUAUUAGCGUGAGUGUAACGGAUCGCUUCGGUGUGAUAAUUAUCUGCGCCGUGGUCGUGAAGUAACAUAAGCUUGCGCUUCCAACCGUCCUUCAGUUGGGCAAUUACUUUGACAUCUGACCUCAAAUCAGGUAGGACUACCCGCUG